rnacentral:rRNA from 1 species
AUUCCCCUAGUAACGGCGAGCGAACGGGGAGGAGCCCAUCGCCGAAGCGCGCGUCCUGGCGGCGCGCUGCAAUGUGGCGUAUGGGAGUCGGCACUCUCCGAGUGCGGCUGGCGGUGCAAGUCCCCACGACCGGGGCGCUCUUACCCGGAGCGGGUGCAAGGCCCGUACCGCUGCCGGCCCGCGCGCGGAGUCGCCGUCUCCCGGGAGUCGGGUUGCUUGGAAUUGCAACUCAAAGUGGGAGGUAAACUCCUCCUAAGGCUAAAUAUUCCCGAGAGACCGAUAGUAAACAAGUACCAUGAGGGAAAGUUGAAAAGAACUUUGAAGAGAGAGUUCAAUAGUACGUGAAACCGUUCAGAGGUAAACGGGUGGGGCCUCGAAGUCCUAAGUCGGUGGUGCACUCAGGUACGGACAAGUGACCGUCUUCUUCCUCGGCUGGCCCCACGAGCGGUGGCCGCAGGGGAGGACGCGAGCGCAGGUCCUUUCCGCACUUGCACCCCCGUCGAACGGGGCGUCGCAACCGGUUGGUCUAAAGGAGCGGGCCGUCGCGAGGAUGCAUCGGAAGGUGGCCGGACGUCUCUCACUUCGGUGAGGUUCGUUCGGUGUUUACAGACGGUGCGGAUCCGGGCUGGCCACCCGACCGGGGCAUUAUGUAACCUACGCGGUGACAUCGGCGUUCCCCUCUCGAACAUGGAGGGGUCUCCCCCGGAGAGCGGGCGGACGGGACGGCUUGUGCCACCCUUGCGGGUGGCCGGAGCGCUGUCGGUCUCGUCCGCCACCGGUGUUGGAGUGCAGUUGGAACCAGGGGUUUGCGGCGAGUAGGUCGGUUACCCACCCGACCCGUCUUGAAACACGGACCAAGGAGUUCAAGGCGCGUGCGAGUCACCGGGACUUGUUUAGGCCCGCGGGCGUAACGAACGUGAAGGCUUGCUUCUUGCUUGCCGAGCUGUGAUCCGCGCCCCUGCGAGGGCGGCGGCGCAACAGCGGCCUGUCCGAAUCCGGUCUCGGAUGGACGGAGCUAGAGCACGCGCCUUGUGACCCGAAAGAUGGUGAACUAUGCCCGGGCAGGACGAAGCCAGAGGAAACUCUGGUGGAGGUCCGCAGCGAUUCUGACGUGCAAAUCGAUCGUCAGACCUGGGUAUAGGGGCGAAAGACUAAUCGAACCAUCUAGUAGCUGGUUCCCUCCGAAGUUUCCCCCAGGAUAGCUGGCGCUCGUGAAAUUCGGUCUCAUCCGGUAAAGCGAAUGAUUAGAGGCCUUGGGGCCGAAACGACCUCAACCUAUUCUCAAACUUUCAAUGGGUGAAAUGUCCGCGACUUGCUUGACUGAAGUACGGACUCCGGACGUGAGUGCCCAGUGGGCCACUUUUGGUAAGCAGAACUGGCGAUGCGGGGUGAACCGAACGCCGGGUUACGGCGCCCGAUGCAGGACGCCCAUUAGAGCCCAUGAAAGGUGUUGGUUGCUAUAGACAGCAGGACGGUGGCCAUGGAAGUCGGAAUCCGCUAAGGAGUGUGUAAUAACUCACCUGCCGAAGCAACUAGCCCUGAAAAUGGAUGGCGCUCCAGCGUUGAGCCCAGACCCGGCCCUCGCCGUACGUGUACGGCAAGGAGUAGGAGGGCGCGGGGGCGGCGUGGAAGGCGCGGGCGCGAGCCCGACCGGAGCCGCCCUCGGUGCAGAUCUUGGUGGUAGUAGCAAAUACUCGAGUGAGAACCUUGAGGACUGUAGUGGAGAAGGGUUCCAUGUGAACAGCAGUUGAACAUGGGUCAGUCGGUCCUAAGGGAAAGGAGAAAUCUCUUAUGAAGGUGGGACCUUGUCUACCCGACCGCACGAUGGGGUCCCCCUACGACCGAAAGGGAAUCGGGUUAAGAUUCCCGAACCCAGACGCGGAGUUGCCUCGGGCUGCGGUCCGGGGCUUGGCGGCAACGCAAGCGAACUCGGAGACGUCGCCGAGAGCCCUGGCUAGAGUUUUCUUUUCUAGUUAAGGACCUUGCUCCCUGGAAUCGAUUCGUUCGGAGAUAGGGAUGCUCGGACCGAAUAGCACCGCGUUUCACGUGGUGUCCGGAGCGCUCUCGGCGGCCCUUGAAAAUCCGGGGGAGCGAUAUACUCUCGCGCUGGAUCGUACCCAUAUCCGCAGCAGGUCUCCAAGGUGAACAGCCUCUAGUCGAUGGAACAAUGUAGGUAAGGGAAGUCGGCAAAACCGAUCCGUAACUUCGGGAGAAGGAUUGGCUCUGGGGGUCGGGCCUGUCGGGCUCUGGUGGGAAGGCGGUGGGGAACCCAGAAGGGCUGGGGCCUGCGGUCCCGGCUUCGGUUGGGACUGCUACCCGGACCUGAAGGGAGCCCUCCGGCGGAUCGCCAGGGCUGCGCGUCGGGGAGCGUGCUCCUUCGUCGUUUCGGCAGGCGAGCAACGGCCAACCCAGAACUGGCACGGACUAGGGGAAUCCGACUGUCUAAUUAAAACAAAGCAUUGCGAUGGCGGUAGGCCCGUGUUGACGCAAUGUGAUUUCUGCCCAGUGCUCUGAAUGUCAAAGUGAAGAAAUUCAACCAAGCGCGGGUUAACGGCGGGAGUAACUAUGACUCUCUUAAGGUAGCCAAAUGCCUCGUCAUCUAAUUAGUGACGCGCAUGAAUGGAUUAACGAGAUUCCCACUGUCCCUAUCUGCUAUCUAGCGAAACCACAGCCAAGGGAACGGGCUUGGAAAAAUCAGCGGGGAAAGAAGACCCUGUUGAGUUUGACACUAGUCUGGCUCUGUGASGAGGCAUGAGAGGUGUAGCAUAAGUGGGAGCCCUCUCCGGAGCGGCGACGUUGAAAUACCACUACUCUUAUCGCGUCUUCACUUACCCGGUGAGGCGGGGGGCGGCGCAAGCCGACUUUCUAGAGCGAAGGGUUCCGUGCCUUGGUGCGGGACCCGACCCGA